rnacentral:rRNA from 1 species
AUUGAACGCUGGCGGCAUGCUUUACACAUGCAAGUCGAACGGCAGCGCGGGCUUCGGCCUGGCGGCGAGUGGCGAACGGGUGAGUAAUACAUCGGAACGUGCCCAGUAGUGGGGGAUAGCUCGGCGAAAGCCGGAUUAAUACCGCAUACGACCUGAGGGUGAAAGCGGGGGAGCUUCGGACCUCGCGCUAUUGGAGCGGCCGAUGGCAGAUUAGCUAGUUGGUGGGGUAAAGGCCUACCAAGGCGACGAUCUGUAGCUGGUCUGAGAGGACGACCAGCCACACUGGGACUGAGACACGGCCCAGACUCCUACGGGAGGCAGCAGUGGGGAAUUUUGGACAAUGGGCGAAAGCCUGAUCCAGCAAUGCCGCGUGUGUGAUGAAGGCCUUCGGGUUGUAAAGCACUUUUGGCGGGAACGAAAAGGACUGUGCCAAUACCACGGUUCGAUGACGGUACCCGCAGAAUAAGCACCGGCUAACUACGUG